GGGAACUGUGUCAUUUUAUUGGAAUUGUGGAAUGGGAUUUAAAUUUUGAGUUAAUUUCGGCAAGCAUGACAUUUAAGUUGUUUAGACUUGUGAAACUUUGGAAUUGAAUUGUAGAGGCCCAAUUUAGCCCGGGCCCAUAAACUAGAAACCUAAUAACAAAAAUAUAUAUAUAAAGUCCACAAGUCCAUUUUACAUAGCCCAAAAUCCAAACCCAUUUACAAUAACCCAAUUCUAAACCCAACUACCUUAGCCAAAAAAUUCAAAGCCCAAAUGGCCCAAAAUGUUUUAGAAACAGAAACUAGGGUUUCCCUUGCACCGCAGUUGUUCUCCCAACCCUCGUACAACCUCCAGUGCGCCUCCAUACGACCUUCACGCACCACCCCACCACCUUGCCUCUGUAUCUGCAAAAUAAGACAAGCAAAGGACGGACACAGCAGCAAGAGCAAAAACCAAGCAAAAACUUUGUAAUUUUUCUUUUUUGUGGUGGCUAUAAAAAGCCAAGAAAUAUCAAUGUAAAGCUCUCUUUUUUUUUACGCAUACAAGGAAAUCAAUACAAAAAAAAGGGGAAUCAAGGUGGUCUUUUGGUUCUGUUUUCCAUUUCCUUUGCAAGUUUAUUUUCGAAUAUAGCACAUACAUGUAUAGAUAUUCAAAGAAAACAUAAAAAAAGGUUACCUUUUUGAGAUUGGGGAAGGGAACUGAGGGGUUGUUUGUUUGAUUUUACUUUUAAAAGGCUUUCUCUAGAACUUUGGGGUUUUAAAUCGGGGGGAGGGAGAUUGAAAAAAGGAAUCAAAAUUGAAAAGGUGAUUUUGGAAUAAAAUACUUUUAAUUUCUUCUUUUUUCUUUCGAUUCCAUUAGUUUUUCGCAUUUAAAAACAAAGAGAAAACAAUAGAUUUACCUUGCGGAUGUGCUAAGAGAUUCCGUCUUCUUUGUUGAAACUGAAGCGUAGAAGGAAUCUCGUGGUCGAGAUUGUCGUCCCCCGAAGCCCGAAUCUAUUCGUCACCAUUGAUAGAGGCAGAUCGGUGCUUAAGAGAGGGGUGUUAGGAUCGAUUGAGGGAAAAUCAAGAGAGGUUCGGGUUUUGAUUUUCUUAGUCGGCCAAAUGAAGAUAGAUAUGGUGAAGGAUUUCCUUCAUUUGUUGUGGAAAGUGGCAGAGUGCCAUUCAAACGUUUUUUAGGGUUUAAUU
rnacentral:lncRNA from 1 species